rnacentral:tRNA from 2 species
GCGCCUGUAGCUCAGCCCGGAUAGAGCAACGGCCUCCGGAGCCGUGUGUCGCGUGUUCAAAUCACGCCAGGCGCGCCA